rnacentral:rRNA from 1 species
ACUCCUACGGGAGGCAGCAGUAGGGAAUCUUCCACAAUGGGCGCAAGCCUGAUGGAGCAACACCGCGUGAGUGAAGAAGGGUUUCGGCUCGUAAAGCUCUGUUGUUAAAGAAGAACACGUAUGAGAGUAACUGUUCAUACGUUGACGGUAUUUAACCAGAAAGUCACGGCUAACUACGUGCCAGCAGCCGCGGUAAUACGUAGGUGGCAAGCGUUAUCCGGAUUUAUUGGGCGUAAAGAGAGUGCAGGCGGUUUUCUAAGUCUGAUGUGAAAGCCUUCGGCUUAACCGGAGAAGUGCAUCGGAAACUGGAUAACUUGAGUGCAGAAGAGGGUAGUGGAACUCCAUGUGUAGCGGUGGAAUGCGUAGAUAUAUGGAAGAACACCAGUGGCGAAGGCGGCUACCUGGUCUGCAACUGACGCUGUAGACUCGAAAGCAUGGGGUAGCGAACAGGAUUAGAUACCCUGGUAGGAUAGCG